GGCGAACGCUGGCGGCGUGCUUAACACAUGCAAGUCGAACGGACAGACAGAGAGCUUGCUCUCUUGAAGUUAGUGGCGAGCGGGUGAGUAACGCGUAAUCAACCUGCCCUUCAGAGGGGGAUAACAACGGGAAACCGUUGCUAAUACCGCGUACGAUUCAUGAACGGCAUCGUUUAUGAAUGAAAGGUGGCCUCUAUGUAUAAGCUAUCGCUGAAGGAGGGGAUUGCGUCUGAUUAGCUAGUUGGAGGGGUAACGGCCCACCAAGGCAAUGAUCAGAAGCCGGUCUGAGAGGAUGAACGGCCACAUUGGGACUGAGACACGGCCCAAACUCCUACGGGAGGCAGCAGUGGGGAAUCUUCCGCAAUGGACGAAAGUCUGACGGAGCAACGCCGCGUGAGUGAUGAAGGUCUUCGGAUUGUAAAGCUCUGUUAAUCGGGACGAAAGAGUUCUGCGUGAAUAAUGCAGAAAAGUGACGGUACCGGAAUAGAAAGCCACGGCUAACUACGUGCCAGCCGCCGCGGUAA
rnacentral:rRNA from 1 species